AUUGAACGCUGGCGGCAUGCUUUACACAUGCAAGUCGAACGGUAACAGGCCGCAAGGUGCUGACGAGUGGCGAACGGGUGAGUAAUGCAUCGGAACGUGCCCAGUCGUGGGGGAUAACGCAGCGAAAGCUGUGCUAAUACCGCAUACGAUCUGUGGAUGAAAGCGGGGGACCUUCGGGCCUCGCGCGAUUGGAGCGGCCGAUGUCAGAUUAGGUAGUUGGUGGGGUAAAGGCUCACCAAGCCGACGAUCUGUAGCUGGUCUGAGAGGACGACCAGCCACACUGGGACUGAGACACGGCCCAGACUCCUACGGGAGGCAGCAGUGGGGAAUUUUGGACAAUGGGCGCAAGCCUGAUCCAGCCAUGCCGCGUGCAGGAUGAAGGCCUUCGGGUUGUAAACUGCUUUUGUACGGAACGAAAAAGUUCUCUCUAAUACAGGGGGCGAAUGACGGUACCGUAAGAAUAAGCACCGGCUAACUACGUGCCAGCAGCCGCUGUAACAC
rnacentral:rRNA from 1 species